UGAAAAUGAGGACCAGAUUGUACAUAUAAACUACAUGUAAACUUAGAGGUUGGAGAGCAUUCCAAGAGAGGGACAACUUUAAGUGAUACCCAUACUUGUGGAAAAACUGGAAUAAGACAAAGCAAAGUUAUGGUACUGGCACAAAAACAGACACAUAGACCAGUGGAACAGAAGUAGAGAGCCCAGAUAUGGACCCUCAACUCUAUAGUUAAAUAGUCUUCAACAAAACAGGAAAAAAUAUUCAGUGG
rnacentral:lncRNA from 1 species